GACGAACGCUGGCGGCGUGCCUAACACAUGCAAGUCGAGCGAGGUGAUUCCUUCGGGAUGAUCCUAGCGGCGGACGGGUGAGUAACACGUGGGCAACCUGCCUCAUAGAGAGGAAUAGCCUUCCGAAAGGGAGAUUAAUACCUCAUAACAUUGCAGCUUCGCAUGGAGCAGCAAUUAAAGGAGUAAUCCGCUAUGAGAUGGGCCCGCGGCGCAUUAGCUAGUUGGUGAGGUAACGGCGUCACCAAGGCGACGAUGCGUAGCCGACCUGAGAGGGUGAUCGGCCACAUUGGGACUGGAGACACGGCCCAGACUCCUACGGGAGGCAG
rnacentral:rRNA from 1 species